rnacentral:rRNA from 1 species
UACGUAGGGUGCGAGCGUUAAUCGGAAUUACUGGGCGUAAAGCGUGCGCAGGCGGUUCGCUAAGACAGAUGUGAAAUCCCCGGGCUUAACCUGGGAACUGCAUUUGUGACCGGCGGGCUAGAGUAUGGCAGAGGGGGGUAGAAUUCCACGUGUAGCAGUGAAAUGCGUAGAGAUGUGGAGGAAUACCGAUGGCGAAGGCAGCCCCCUGGGCCAAUACUGACGCUCAUGCACGAAAGCGUGGGGAGCAAACAGG